UUGGUGAGGUAAUAGCUCACCAAGGCUAAGACGGGUAGCUGGCGUGAGAGCGCGGUCAGCCACCGUGGAACCGAGAUACGGUCCACACUCCUACGGGAGGCAGCAAUUAGGAAUCUUGCGCAAUGGGGGCAACCCUGACGCAGCGACACAGUGUGGAGGAGGAAGGUCUUCGGAUUGUAAACUCCUUUUAUGAGGGAAGAAUAGAUGACGGUACCUCAUGAAUAAGCACCUGCUAACUACGUGCCAGAAGCAUCGGUGAUGCGUAGGGUGCGAACGUUAUCCGGAUUUAUUGGGCGUAUAGAGAAGCGUAGGUGUUUCUGUAAGUCUUUAGUUAAAGACCACGGCUCAACCGUGGAGAAGCUUUGGAAACUACAGGAAUAGAGACAGGAAUGGGCGAAUGGAAUUCCCAGUGGAGCGGUGAAAUGCGUUGAUAUUGGGAGGAACAUCAGUGGCGAAGGCGAUUCGCUGGUCCUUGUCUGACACUAAGGCUCGAAAGCGUGGGUAGCGAAACGGAUUAGAUACCCGUGUAGUCCACGCCGUAAACUAUGGACGCUAGGUGUUCGGUACAACUACUCAAUCCUUCGGGAUUGAAUGGA
rnacentral:rRNA from 1 species